rnacentral:rRNA from 1 species
UGGAUCCAGACUUUGAUCCUGGCUCAGGAUGAACGCUGGCGGCGUGCUUAACACAUGCAAGUCGAACGAAGCACUCUAUUUGAUUUUCUUCGGAAAUGAAGAUUUUGUGACUGAGUGGCGGACGGGUGAGUAACGCGUGGGUAACCUGCCUCAUACAGGGGGAUAACAGUUGGAAACGACUGCUAAUACCGCAUAAGCGCACAGGAUCGCAUGAUCCGGUGUGAAAAACUCCGGUGGUAUGAGAUGGACCCGCGUCUGAUUAGCCAGUUGGCAGGGUAACGGCCUACCAAAGCGACGAUCAGUAGCCGACCUGAGAGGGUGACCGGCCACAUUGGGACUGAGACACGGCCCAAACUCCUACGGGAGGUAGCAGUGGGGAAUAUUGCACAAUGGGGGAAACCCUGAUGCAGCGACGCCGCGUGAGCGAAGAAGUAUUUCGGUAUGUAAGCUCUAUCAGCAGGGAAGAAGAAUGACGGUACCUGACUAAGAAGCACCGGCUAAAUACGUGCCAGCAGCCGCGGUAAUACGUAUGGUGCAAGCGUUAUCCGGAUUUACUGGGUGUAAAGGGAGCGCAGGCGGUGCGGCAAGUCUGAUGUGAAAGCCCGGGGCUCAACCCCGGUACUGCAUUGGAAACUGUCGUACUAGAGUGUCGGAGGGGUAAGUGGAAUUCCUAGUGUAGCGGUGAAAUGCGUAGAUAUUAGGAGGAACACCAGUGGCGAAGGCGGCUUACUGGACGAUAACUGACGCUGAGGCUCGAAAGCGUGGGGAGCAAACAGGGUUAGAUACCCUGGUAGUCCACGCCGUAAACGAUGA